rnacentral:lncRNA from 1 species
AAGGUUGGAUAUCUUCAGUUUUGUGUUCAUUUUGAACAUUGUAUAUUAUAUAUUAAGAUAUAAUACCACAAAGCCAUUGGAUAAUUACAGAAGAUUUAGUUGGAAGGCACCACAGGAUUAGAAGAAGAAAACCAGUAUUUCAUUUAGUAUCCAUUGUUAGCCCCGCCUCGUGUGCAGCACCUCAUAGUUCUACAAAAUGAGUUGUGUCUUCCGCUUUUACAGCUGAGGAAACAAGAGUGUAAGUAGAUUGCCAAGAUUUAUUUAGAGAGCUAAGAUUUAAAUUUGGGGUUUUAACCUGGCCUCUGGAACCCAUUCUCACCAUGUACCCUGUUUUAUUGAAAGCUGGGUAAAAGAGAUUUGAGUCCAUGCCACCAUUAAAAAUGAAAAUGCCUGAUGACUACUUCAGGGUUGUAAAGCUGUGAAUAUACGUUUUAAUUUGAUCUGCAGAAUCUCGUGAUAGAUAGGGCAGGUGCUAAGAUGCUCAUUGGGAUUGGGGUGAGAAGGUAAGAAUCUGAAUCUCAAGAGAACUGAAGGACUUGCUGGAUGUAACAAAGGCUAGUAAAUGGCAGAACUUGGGAGCGAGUGUAAACUCGCUCCUGGUGACUCCGAGCCUCAUAUACUUUCUCACACCUGUCCUACCAGUUUGUUAGAAGUGCAUUUAAAAGAGCCUGGAGAAGUUAAGUGGAAUAUUUCAGGAUUGUAACAUUUCAUAAAAAGGGCCGAAAACUGCGCCUUUACUUUCACUCCCCCGUCAUCCUUUCUAAGCUGACUCCAGCAGGAAGCUGUGUGGAGCUGAGCACCACCUGGAUGAAGUGUGUUAAUAGUUAGGUUCUGAUCUAAUGAUAUUCAGUAACCCAUAUCUUCAGAGUUUAAUUUUCUUAGGGAAAAAAAAAUGAAUGCCCUGCUUAUUUGAACAUUAAUUAUUCUUUUCAGUGGAUUGAUCCUACUUACUGUAAAGCUUUGUUGAUCUUUUGGCUUAUGUCACCAUGUAAUGUUUAUGUGAUUAAUUUUUGUUUGCAUGAAAAGGAGGUUUUACUUACCACAAGAACAUUUUUAACCUCUUUGCUCUAGAGACAUUUGGAGUUCGAUGGAAGUAUCCUGUGUGAAUACCUGUGGUUUUGAUAGUGAUUGUCGCAGGGUGGGUUUUCUUCUUUCUGGAGGCCAACUUUGCUUUUAUGAUGACCUAUUAUCCCUGCGUGUCUGGCUCUGUCUAGUCAUAUGUAUGGAUCUGUUCUUCCUGUCUGGUCCACCCAGGCUUGGGAAGUAACUUGUCAACCCUGCCCUCAGAGCCUGCUUGAGAGGGUUGGCAAACUCUACUGGUCCUGCUGUGAAUCUCUCAGGCUUGCGAGGGACGACAGAUGGUUGAGCUAAACUGGGAGCCACCCCUCUACGUAAUGAUGAAAAAUGACCAGCCUCCUGGUAAGUGGAAAUCAGGACCAUGCACCUUUUAAUUCUAAUAAACAGGACUUUGAAACAAACAGAGUGAAGAAGGAAGAGGAAACCCUUCCAUAAGUAACCUGUCUUUGUUAGUACUCUUUGUACUUAUUAGUAGGAAAGAUCUUCACGUAUGUAUAUACUAUUGUAUCCAUGUAGUCACUACACAUAGACUGCUGGGACUGAAAAGUAAUCCCGUGUGCCCUUUUGGAUAUAAACAAUCUCUGUAAAAGCCAAAAAAUGUGAGGCAGAUUACAAACAUGGAUGCAGAAUUGCUUUCUGUACUACAUGAGCAGCAUGGGGCCCACUGUUCUUAUGGCUCCUUCCAUAGGUAUCUGCCUUUCCCAUAACUUCAGCUGAAGUUGGGGCCCUCAGCAGCCCUUGAGGCCCCUGCUCUUGUACCUGGCCUCAGUUAAUUGAACCAUUGCUACCUAACUCAGCCGACAACCAAUCUGUAGCCUAGACAAUGAGUGACUUGGACCAGUUACAGAGAACAGAAACAAGUUAAUAGAAGGGAAAGCAGGUAGGCAGAGUAGCUGUGUCAGUAAUAGUGAUACACAGGAGUGAAGACCCAUGAACUUGUGCUGCCUGGCAUCCUUCUAGUUACUUUGGCUCCACUUAUUGUCUCCCUGAAGCAUGUUUUUGGGCUCUUAUCCUUGUCUUCCACUUUACCACUCAUAUCCUUAUGAUGACACUCCCUUGUGUGAGCGGCCUUACAUGAAUCUCAGUCCAUGGUCAAUAUAGUUUCAUAGUUACAAGUGAAAUUAGUCCCUGGAGUCAGCAGCUAAGCUUCAAUAACAGCUUUAUCCGUUCCAAACUGAUGAGCUCUUGUAAGUUCUUUAAUUUCUGAAAGCAUCUUUAUUCUUCCUCUAUAAUAUGAGACAACAGUACCUACCUGAGAAUGCUGGAAGACUUAAUAAAUAACAGAUGUAACCAUUAACAUAAUGCUUGGUACAUGCUCGAAAGAUGUUAGCUGCUGCUGUUAUUAUUAUUAAUAUGUGAUUCUGUUGGGGCCUUUCAACACAUUAAAUGAUGCAAGGCUUUCUUUUGUUUUCCCUAAGCCCGUUGGAACUCUAACCAUUGACUUGAUCACUGUCUACACACCUGAGGCUCUUUUCAGCUGCUCUGUUUCUGAGAGAAACAUCUAACCUACAAAGGGAAUCCCCAAAUCUCACAAGUCUCAGAUUACUAAGGGAUUGUCAUACCUGGAUAAAAUCAUAUUUAUAUGCUGUCUUCCUUAAGUGUAUGCCCACUUUAAAUGUCUCUCUGCCAACUAAUUAUAAAAGGGAAAAGGAGUUUAAGACGUUCCAUUCUGUUUUCCCAAAUGACUGUUGUUGCUCACUGAAAUGCACAAACAUGCUACAGUCUUUUGACCGUAUCUCUUCUCUUUUGAUGACCAGCAUGCUCUAGGUUCUCUCCUGCUGGCACGUGGACCAGGAGAAGUUAGCAGAUACGGUCUUCUUUCUCUGGACGGUUCACCUUUGGCUCAGUGCCCUACAGCUUGUAUACAGGAAAGAGAAGUAAGAAGUAGUUAUUUAAGAGAACUUCCCCACUGUCUGUGCUGUGACCUCCUUCUCUGACAGCCAACUUUUUAAACAAGCAUCUUAAUAUUUCAGCAGAUGGUGCUAAGGUUUGCUGAAACAGCCUACAGUAUUCCCAGUUUGUUCCCACAUUUCUGGAUUCUUUGUAAUUAGCUCGCAACAUGCGUGAAAGUGAGCUCAGAUGUAACCUAAACCCAUGGAACUUGGAAAAAGAAGCAUCUGCCGAGAGGAGCGGGGUUGAUCUUGAUUUGCUUUCAGGGAGUUGCCACGGAGGUGAGCUUUAUGAGAUUAUCAGUGGCUGGAAGUCAUCGCAGCUGUGUUGUGUUGUCUGUCCUGGGUGCCCAUUUGCUUCUAGUUACAAAUCAAGUAUUGGUUUUCAUUUAUAGAGACCUAUGUCAAUUUUGUUCCCACCCUGGUUAUCAUGAAGUCAACUCUGGUUUUCCUGGUUUAUUAUUUGCCAUGGUCUCUGUUCCUACAACUUGUGCCUGUGUCUGGGGACCUCACGUAGAAGGUGUUACAAUUUUAGAAAAAUACUGAGUUAAAUUUUGUAAACCAAUAGUAUAUUCUUAAGAAAACCUUGUAAGGCUGAAUUUAAGCCAAGUACUUCACCGUGUUAGGAUCAGUGAUAUUAUUUUCCUAAUGUUUCAGCUACUUAUACUUUCUUUGUCUAAGAAACAUUUAUUUUACAACCCACGGAGCAAUGCUGGGGAUGUAACUAUUUCUUGAUUGAUUCCUGUGGCACAGCAUCGUCUGCAGAGACCUGCAUUAUGUGAAGCAGCAUCUUCUUUCCCCUUGAUGUUGAAACUGGAUGAAGGAUCUUGUCAGGCUCACAGGGAUUGUCUCCUGGCUUGAUUCAGCUCUUCAGGCCCUGGAGAUGAAGUUCUGUGUCAGGCACCAAGCAUCUGUAUGCGGUAGGCAGCUGGAGGUCACUCUCUUGAUCACCUCUUGUGUGGACAAGUUUUCUUACAAGCAGAAGCCCAUCCCCAGGCAUCCUCUAGUGCUGACUGACGAGAUAGGAGCAAAACUCAUGCAACCUGCCUUUCAGAUGCAAAUAGAACAUUCCUAAGUCCUUUGAGGCACUCUGCCAAUGUGGCUCCUUCCAUUUUGUGGCUCUGCCGGUCUUCUUGAACACAUGGCUCCUGAGGCUGGGGUAGAGACAGCUUCUGGUGGCUGCCCAAGUUCUUGGCUUGUGGCUGCAUCACUCCAGUCUCUGUGACCACAGGCCUUCUCUUGUGUCACCACGUUGCCUUCUGCUUCCCUAUUAUAAGAACACACCUGACUAUAUCUAGAGUUCACCCAGAUAAUCCAAGAUAAUCUCCCCAUCUCAUGAUCCUUAAUCGUAUCUUCAGAAUCCUUUUUAACAUAUAAGUUCUAGUUAGGUGAAAACAUAGCUCUCUAGUAGUUUGCUGCACAUUUCCUGUGAAAGUGAAGAUUCUCCUUUCUUAAUGAAGAGCAGCUCAUAUAUGAUGACAAAACAGAGGCAAGAGAGCAUAUGUUGGAGAACCUGGCGUUCUAUGUCAUGAGAGAAUGAACCAGAAUGGGGCAUAUGCUUCUAACCUGAAGACAAGACUGCAGAAUUGACUAUAUACACAGUCCUGUGUCACUUAAAGACAGGGAUACAUUCUGAGAAAUGCAUCAUGAGGCAGUUUCAUCAUUGUGCGAAUAUCAUGGAGUGUCCUUACACAAAGCUAGACGGUAUACACCUACUACAUACCUAGCCUCUAUGGUAUAGCCUGUUGAUCCUAGGUUACAAACCUGUACAGCAUGUUACUGUAUUCAAUACUGUAAGCAUUUAUGACACAAUGGUAAGUAUUUGUGUAUCUAAAGAUAUCUCAAGAUAGAAAAGGCACAGUAAAAAUACGGUAUUAUAAUCUUAUGGGACCACCAUUUUACAUUCAGUCCAUUAUUGACCAAAGCAUCAUUAUGCAGUACAUGACUGUAUUUGUGUAAGGAAAUUUAAAAAUAAAAAGGUAUGUUUGGAAACAGAUUAAAAGAGGGAUCAUAAAGUGCUGAAAGGACUCCUGUUUGAACCCUGAAAUUUCUCUAGCACUGUUCCUAAACUUUUGGGGUCACUGGCCAGUUAAUAACUGUAGAAAAACCAGAGAGCAUGUACCUUCUAAAUGUACCUACACAUGAAAUUAUGCAUACAAUUUUGGGGAUUCACAGAAAAGUCCUUAAAGGUCUAUCCAUGUGAUUGCUCUCAAUAUGUAUGAGAACACCUGGCCUGAGUGAAAAUUCUCCAUCAGGAGGCUUCUCCCCAUGGCGAACAUGGAGUUAGAGGUUGAAGGCUGAGGAGGAGUUUUGUAGGUAGAAAAGAGAGAAAGAGGCCAGGCGCAGUGGCUCAUGCCUGUAAUCCCAGUACUUUGGGAGGCCAAAGUGGGCAGAUCACUUAAGGUCAGGAGUUCGAGACCAGCCCAGCCAAUAUGGUGAAACCCCGUCUCUACUAAAAAUACAAAAAUUAUCUGGGCAUGGUGGCACAUGCCUGUAGUCCCAGCUAUUCAGGAGGAUGAGGCACAAAAAUUGCUUGAACCCGGGAGGCGGAGGUUGCAGUGAGCCGAGAUUGCACCACUGCACUCCAGCCUGAGUGACAAGAGUGAGACUUGGUCUCAAAAAAAAAAAAAAAAAGAAAAGAAAGAAAAAGGAAAGAGAGAAAGACAUUGCAGUAGAGGGGAUUUCAUGUAUGAAGUUACAGAAGGGUGAAAGGGAAUAGUGGAGUGGUCUCUGGGGAAGAGCGAAGGGGCGGGGACUAGAUGAAGAACAGUUUUUUAUGCCAUGCUAAGGAGUUUCACUUUGUCUUUAGACAGAUAGUAUCAAAGUGCUCAGAUAUUUACAGCGGAAUGAGGCUAAUGGAGGUCUUGAAGCACCUACUAGAGUUAUAAUGACAGCAGCUACAUUUUAUGAUGUAUAUAUAAGAUUUGGUUUGAAUUAUAUAGCUCUAAAAUGUUGGGAAAAUGUUAUAAGCAAUAGACACCAGAGAAGAAUUUUAAACAGGAGAUUGACUUGAGCCCAUUUGUAUCUGAAAAGAUGCCUAAAGCACAAGAACGCCAGUGAGUAAGUCCAUAUGAGUCACAUCUCUAGCUCAGCACUGUCCAUACUUUGCGCAGUGAUGGGAGUGUUUUGCAUCUGUGCUGUCCCAUGCAGAAGCCACUGGCCACACGUGGCGACCGAGCUCGAAAUGUGGCCAGAGUGAUGGAAGAGCUGAAGUUGUAAUAUUAUUCAAUUGUAAUUAGUUGAAAUCGCUAUGUAUGGCUACAGCUACUAUUUUAGGCAGUGCAACUCAGUGGUCUCCUGUCUCCACAAAGGAACGUAGCCCUACUCAUACCUUGAUCGUAGCACACGGAGACCUGUGUUAGGCUUCAGACCUGUGGAACUGUAAGAUGAUGCGUUUGUAUCAUUUUAAGCCACUGUGUUUGUGGUAAGUAGUUACGGCAGCAGUAGAAAAGUGAUGCAGUUAUGAAUCUAGAGUGGCAUCAUUAAAGGGGCUUUUGGCAAACAUUAUUUCAGGUUAAAAGUUACCAACUGAGCUAAUUUUUUGAAAAAGUUUAUUUUUUUUAUUAUCUGAGUAGUAUAUGGGCGUUAGACAAAAUUUGGAGAAAGCACAGGACACUAUAAAGAGGAAGAAAGCCCUUUUCAGAGGUAGAUAAUAAUGUUUGGAUAUAUUCUCCCUAGUUUUUUAAUUGUAUUUUUGUAGUGGAGAUGAUAAAGAGCUAACAGUUAUUGAGUGAUUAUUAUGUGUUAGUCCCUGUUCUAAAUACUUCACCGAUAUUAACUCAUUUCAUCCUCAUUACAAUCUAUGAUGUAGGCACGGUCUUCCCAUUUCCCAGAUGAAGAAACUGAAGCAAAAAGAUACAUCACUGGCUUAUCUGAUUAGACACAGCAGAGUAAGGCAUCUGCCCCAGGCAGUAAGUUUCGGAGCAAGGAUGAAUUCUAUGGUAUACUGCCCGUAUUCUGAAUAUAUGACUUUUAAUCUUGAUUCCUUUCACUUAACCCUUUAAAUUCAAAAAUUUCUCAUGUUAUUAACAACUCUUAACUGUGGUUUGCAGAUCAUGUAGGUGGUACAAGUGUCACCAUUUUCUUUUUGCCACAUUUAUGCCAAAAAUUAUAAUGACCUCUUUAUCAUUGAGAAGAGGUAUGUUAGAAAUAGAAACUCUUUAGCUUAAAAAUGAAGUUAGCAUAAGGCUAGUUUAUUAAUAGAGAUGGAGGGUGUGGGAGCAAGUGUCAGAUACAUUUGUAAAGUUAUUUACUUGGAACUUGAAGCUAAUUUUUCUGGAAAGUAAUAUGAUACAUAACUGGACCUUCAGUAGCCCCCAUCUUCCCACAUACCUAUUUUCCCUGCAAAGUAAUGGAAAUAGUAAAUGCUGUUAGUAUGUUGAGGUUCAACCCAAGAGCUUAUGUGUAAGGGAAAAAAAAUACCCCCUAGGGAGUGCAACUAUAAAAUUAGUAUAAAAUUGAUCAGAACAGAGAUAUGCAAAGUUACCUUUAAGAAGCAAAAUAGCUUUGGGGCCUAUAAGAAUGUUACUCAAAGAAGGGAAACUCAGUUCUUAGCCCUGGAAGAACUGAGAAAUUAGCCCCUUGAACAACCACUGGCAGCAUCCCCAGGUGGUACUACAUAUUGUAGAGGGAGCUUUAGCCAAUGACUGCUGAAAGAUCUGUCUCUCUGGAAAAUAGAUGCAUCAGCCUGUUUUAGGGAGUAUAGCUAAAAUCAGCUAACUCUCUUGUUUUAUUUGCAUACUCGCCUAAUAACUUCUGGUUAAAAUUGGGCUUCUUAUAUAGAUCUACAGGGAGACAUUUCUCUGGUUUUGUUGCCACAAGUAUUACAGCUCUGUCAUAAUUAUGUUUAUUAUUGUAAAUUAAAAGAUAGGUGUUGCAGUUCUA